ACUCGGGGUGCCUGCCGCUAAAUGCGUAAUGGCUGAGAUUUUACCCGUAUUACCUGAUCUGGAUUAUACCAGCGGAGGGAAGUCGCGGU
rnacentral:ncRNA from 1 species